rnacentral:rRNA from 1 species
UAAUACGUAGGUGGCAAGCGUUGUCCGGAUUUAUUGGGUUUAAAGGGUGCGUAGGCGGCUUAAUAAGUCAGUGGUGAAAGCCGGUAGCUUAACUAUCGAAAUGCCAUUGAUACUGCUAGGCUUGAGUACAGUUGAGGUAGGCGGAAUUGACAGUGUAGCGGUGAAAUGCUUAGAUAUUGUCAAGAACACCAAUUGCGAAGGCAGCUUACUAAAGUGUAACUGACGCUGAGGCACGAAAGUGCGGGGAUCAAACAGG